UUCCGAUGUAUAGUCAUGUGGGU
rnacentral:miRNA from 1 species